UACGGGGGGGAGCAAGCGUUGUUCGGAUUUACUGGGCGUAAAGGGCGCGUAGGCGGCGCAACAAGUCACUUGUGAAAUCUCCGGGCUUAACCCGGAGCGGUCAAGUGAUACUGUCGUGCUAGAGUGCGGAAGGGGCUACUGGAAUUCUCGGUGUAGCGGUGAAAUGCGCAGAUAUCGGGAGGAACACCAGUGGCGAAGGCGGGUCUCUGGACAGUUCCUGGCACGCUGAG
rnacentral:rRNA from 1 species